GCGGGUGCUAACGUCCGUCGUGGAGAGGGAAACAACCCAGACCGCCAGCUAAGGUCCCAAAGUAUUGCUAAGUGGGAAACGAUGUGGGAAGGCUCAGACAGCUAGGAUGUUGGCUUAGAAGCAGCCAUCAUUUAAAGAAAGCGUAAUAGCUCACUAGUCGAGUCGGCCUGCGCGGAAGAUGUAACGGGGCUAAGCAAUACACCGAAGCUGCGGCAAUGUCUUUUAGACAUUGGGUAGGGGAGCGUUCUGUAAGCCGUUGAAGGUGAAUCGUAAGGUUUGCUGGAGGUAUCAGAAGUGCGAAUGCUGACAUGAGUAACGACAAAGGGGGUGAAAAACCUCCUCGCCGGAAGACCAAGGGUUCCUGUCCAACGUUAAUCGGGGCAGGGUGAGUCGACCCCUAAGGUGAGGCCGAAAGGCGUAAUCGAUGGGAAACGGGUUAAUAUUCCCGUACUUCUGACUAUUGCGAUGGGGGGACGGAGAAGGCUAGGUGGGCCAGGCGACGGUUGUCCUGGUUCAAGUGCGUAGGCUUGAGAGUUAGGUAAAUCCGGCUCUCUCUAAGGCUGAGACACGACGUCGAGCUACUACGGUAGUGAAGUCAUUGAUGCCAUGCUUCCAGGAAAAGCCUCUAAGCUUCAGAUAGUCAGGAAUCGUACCCCAAACCGACACAGGUGGUCGGGUAGAGAAUACCAAGGCGCUUGAGAGAACUCGGGUGAAGGAACUAGGCAAAAUGGUACCGUAACUUCGGGAGAAGGUACGCUCUUGAUGGUGAAGUCCCUCGCGGAUGGAGCUGACGAGAGUCGCAGAUACCAGGUGGCUGCAACUGUUUAUUAAAAACACAGCACUGUGCAAAAUCGCAAGAUGACGUAUACGGUGUGACGCCUGCCCGGUGCCGGAAGGUUAAUUGAUGGGGUUAGCGCAAGCGAAGCUCUUGAUCGAAGCCCCGGUAAACGGCGGCCGUAACUAUAACGGUCCUAAGGUAGCGAAAUUCCUUGUCGGGUAAGUUCCGACCUGCACGAAUGGCGUAAUGAUGGCCACGCUGUCUCCACCCGAGACUCAGUGAAAUUGAAAUCGCUGUGAAGAUGCAGUGUACCCGCGGCUAGACGGAAAGACCCCGUGAACCUUUACUACAGCUUGGCACUGAACAUUGAACCUACAUGUGUAGGAUAGGUGGGAGGCUAUGAAGACGUGACGCCAGUUGCGUUGGAGCCGUCCUUGAAAUACCACCCUUGUAUGUUUGAUGUUCUAACUUAGACCCAUUAUCUGGGUUGAGGACAGUGCCUGGUGGGUAGUUUGACUGGGGCGGUCUCCUCCCAAAGAGUAACGGAGGAGCACGAAGGUGGGCUAAUCACGGUUGGACAUCGUGAGGUUAGUGCAAUGGCAUAAGCCCGCUUAACUGCGAGAAUGACGGUUCGAGCAGGUGCGAAAGCAGGUCAUAGUGAUCCGGUGGUUCUGUAUGGAAGGGCCAUCGCUCAACGGAUAAAAGGUACUCCGGGGAUAACAGGCUGAUACCGCCCAAGAGUUCAUAUCGACGGCGGUGUUUGGCACCUCGAUGUCGGCUCAUCACAUCCUGGGGCUGAAGUCGGUCCCAAGGGUAUGGCUGUUCGCCAUUUAAAGUGGUACGCGAGCUGGGUUUAGAACGUCGUGAGACAGUUCGGUCCCUAUCUGCCGUGGGCGUUGGAAGAUUGAAGGGGGCUGCUCCUAGUACGAGAGGACCGGAGUGGACGAACCUCUGGUGUUCGGGUUGUGUCGCCAGACGCAUUGCCCGGUAGCUAAGUUCGGAAUUGAUAAGCGCUGAAAGCAUCUAAGCGCGAAGCGAGCCCUGAGAUGAGUCUUCCCUGACAGUUUAACUGUCCUAAAGGGUUGU
rnacentral:rRNA from 1 species